GGUAGCGUGGCCGAGCGGUCUAAGGCGCUGGUUUAAGGCACCAGUCUCUCCGGAGGCGUGGGUUCAAAUCCCACCGCUGCCA
rnacentral:tRNA from 2 species